GACUGGUGCCAAGACGAGCACAACAAGGACAGCAAAGGGAGCUCAGCCGUGUAGGAUACACUUCAUAUUUUAAAAGCACAGCUUCCCUCCCAAGUUCACCUCUUUUAAUUCUUUUCUUCACAUGAUCACUAAAGUUAUGAACUGAUAUCAGUGACAUGAACCAUUGCGGGGAGCAAAGAAACUGAGGAGAGAUCUUAGAAGACAAAAUACCUUUUGGUUCAAAUGCCUUUUAAGAUUCCGGACAUGAUGAAGCAGACAUACUCUGCAUUACACUUGCUGCAGCAGUCCAGAAAAAUCAUGUUCCCUCUGUGCGUUUCAAAAAAUCAGUGUUUGAGUUUUAAUUUUCAUUUUUGAAAGACUCAGCUCAGGGUUUACCAACUUUACUUUUUCUCCUUCUGGGUCCCAGAGUACAACCCUGACUAAACACAGGAAUUUUUUUUUUUCAUCUGUUUUAGAAGUUGUCUGAUUCGUUGUGUUCUGCACUGCAGAGUCUGGUAGUCUAAGGCACCAAGUACGCAAAACACUUUGGUUAAAAGGACCACUCUUUGCCAGUUACUACUCAGAAAAAAAGCCUUGAAAUAUGCCUUCUUUAGGCAUCACUUAGAGCAAACUUUUUUUUUCCCCUCCUAGACUUAAUUGUGUGGCCUUUAAAGUUACAUCUGCUGACACCACUGAAUGCCUCUGCAUUCAGAAAACAUAGGGGAGCUGUAAGGGAACACACAAGGUAUUUUCCUUUACAUCACCUCUCCUUUUCUGCUGGCAGGGAAAGGCAAAUGCACAUUUCUGGCUGGUGGGAGUUGAAUGGCAAUGUGUUCAUUUGUUGUUUGUUAUUUUUAAGUUUAGGUUCACUCAACCUGCGUUUUCAGAGUACAAAAUACUGACAGAUGGAAGUAGUCAUUCAAAGUUUAUUCUGCUAGUUUAGCCUUAUCACUAAAAUGACAACAUCUAUCUGAAGUCUAAGUUACUCAGGCGUGAGCCUGGCACUAUCCUCCAUUUCAUUUAGUAGAUUGCUACUGUACAGUUAAACUGUACAGAUAAUAGCAACACCCUGACUGUGACUAACAUUAUAUUGGGCUAAAACUGCAGUCUUAGCUCACAUAAAUAUCUGGCACAGAACUUGUCAUAGUAGCCCAUUCUUAGACUACUUUACCAUAUCUCUCUUCUAGCUGCUUACCACAUUGUGUGUUUUGAUACUACAUGCAAUCUGCUUUAUACUCUCUAAAUUUUUGGAAGUUCAGUAAGACACAAAGCACUGCAACUGCAUGAAAAGCAGCUCAAGGCAUCUGGAUUAGGACAGAUUUUGCAAUUUUUUUAUAUUCAGAACAUGGCAGUCAGUGCUUUUUCUGUCUGUGAGGUUGGUUACUGGGAGGGUCCUCUGCAUUCUUGUUAUUAUUUUGGAUUCUCCGUGGACCUAUGCAGAGAGCAGCUUGCUGGUAUGUACUUGAGUUAGCAGGAAUGUCUUGUAGACAAACAUACUAGAGACUUUUAGCAGAAGCUUGGUCACUGGAGCAUAGCUACGUGGUGAAUUAGCCUGCAACAGAGUAGUUAUUUAUGUAGCUAUGUUGCCACAGUAUACACAGAGCUUGCCAAGUGUCUCCUGUUUACUGCAGUUGAAGCACUUACCCUUGUUUCAGCAGUAAACUUACAACUGCUAAAAAAAGAAACUAUGGAGAUUUCACCCUUCCCAGCAGACAAAAGGCAUGAGUCACACGAGAUAGUGAGCUCUUAGUCCCGCAGAGCACCUGAGCAGCCCCUGAAUUCCUUAAGAAUGGACACAUGAAGGUUGUAGCUUUUGUCCUCUUCCAGGUUCAGCCAUACUAAUGCAAGAAUAGACUGACCUUCUGGUGAAGAUUAUUACCCCACCAAUGAACCACAGCUCCUGGGACCAUUUCCUAAACUAUUCUGGCACUUUAAAAUCAGCUGGGUUAGCUCAAGCUAACUGAAAACAGGCAGUGGAAAAGUAGGUGAGAUGGAGAAGGGCAACCAAACAACAGCUCUGCUCAGGAGGAAGAAGAAGAGGAGAAAAGGCAGCCCAUCUCUAGGACACCAAAAUCAUGAGACUGUUACUCUUGUUGCAGGCAGAAAUGGAAGGCCUUGAACACUUCCAUUUCACACUUUUUACCUUUAGCUGUUCCAUUUUAUAUUGUAUGUGUAGUAUUUAAGAGCUUCUGUUCGUAUGUGAUAAGCUCUGCUUGGACUUGAGAAGGAAGAACUGAGAACAAGAAUUAAAAAUGCUGUGGUGGUCUUUGCUCCGAGAAAGGAAAGAGAUAUUUUUUAAUCUACGCCAAGGCUUCAGAUAUGUAUGUGUAAGUAGUAGACACAUUUUGUGCUUUUACUUAUGUGGAAGAGGAAGAGAAUUUAUGCAGUGUGUUUGUACUAUUUGUACACACUGGAUAUUAUAAAUCCAUGUCAGAAAAGAUUUAUCUCAUGUGAAUCAUCUUGUGUAGUUGUGUAACAUGUGGUUGAAUCACACAUGCAUAUGUGAAACCAGGUAACUUGCUCAUUGCCAGGUACCAUGAAUCAUCACCAUCUAGUGGCAACCCGCGAAGUUCAGGCUUCGACAACAUUUCCAAAUACAGAAGAGGACAAUUGAGAAUAGAAAGCAAAUCAAAAUGGCUGUAAUAUUGCUUCUAAAAGAUGUUGCUGUGCUUGAGGAUUUAUCAAAUAAAGUAUUUUAAAUAUCCACAA